CGGGCACGGGCGGGCAGGCAGACACAGACAGACACACGGGCGGACACAGACAGACAUGGGCGGACAGAGACAGACAGACACAGGUGGACCCAGACACGGACACACGUAGACAGACAGACACAGAUAGACAGGGGCAGACACAGACAGACAGACCCAGGUAGGCAGACAGACACACACAGAGAGACAGGAGCAGACACAGAGAC